rnacentral:rRNA from 1 species
GACGAACGCUGGCGGCGUGCUUAACACAUGCAAGUCGAACGAAGUGGCGAACGGGUGAGUAUUACGUGGGUAACCUGCCCUCCUUUUUGGGAUAAGCCUUGGAUACGGGGUCUAAUACCGAAUUCAGGGGGAUGGGCUGGCGGCCUAUGAGCUUGUUGGUGGGGUGAUGGCUUACCAAGGCGGCGAUGGGUAGCCGGCCUGAGAGGGUGACCGGGAACAGGGGAACGGAGAUACGGCCCAGGCGCGUACGAGGGGGAGCAGUGGGGAAAAGGGCAGAAUGGGCGAAAGCCUGAUGCAGCGACGCGGAGUGGGGGAUGAAGGCUUUCAGGUUGUUAGCGUCUGUAGCUAGCGAACGGGUAGGUGGAGAAGAAGCGCCGGCUAACUACGUGCCAGCAGCCGCGGUAAUAC